rnacentral:rRNA from 1 species
UGAUGACGACCGGCAAACGGGUGCGCAACACGUACAGAACCUUCCUUUAAGCGGGGGAUAGCCCGGAGAAAUCCGGAUUAAUACCUCAUAGUAAUAUUUGGUGGCAUCAUCAGAUAUUUAAAGAUUUAUCACUUAGAGAUGGCUGUGCGUCUGAUUAGGUAGUUGGUUGGGGUAAUGGCCCACCAAGCCUUCGAUCAGUAACUGGUGUGAGAGCACGACCAGUCACACGGGCACUGAGACACGGGCCCGACUCCUACGGGAGGCAGCAGUAAGGAAUAUUGGUCAAUGGAGGCAACUCUGAACCAGCCAUGCCGCGUGAAGGAUGAAGGUCCUCUGGAUUGUAAACUUCUUUUAUGUGGGAAGAAAUGCAUUCUUUAUAGAGUGUUUGACGGUACCAUAGGAAUAAGCACCGGCUAACUCCGUGCCAGCAGCCGCGGUAAUACGGAGGGUGCGAGCGUUAUCCGGAUUCACUGGGUUUAAAGGGUGCGUAGGUGGGGAAGUAAGUCAGUGGUGAAAUCUCCGUGCUUAACAUGGAAACUGCCAUUGAUACUAUUUUUCUUGAAUUUUCCGGAGGUUAGCGGAAUAUGUCAUGUAGCGGUGAAAUGCUU